rnacentral:rRNA from 1 species
GAUGAACGCUAGCGGCAGGCCUAAUACAUGCAAGACGAGCGGUAAACGUUUCAGCAAUGAGAUGUGAGAGCGUCGUAAGGGUGCGUAACACGUAUGCAAUCUGCCCGGAACAGGGGUAUAGCUCGGGGAAACCCGGAUUAACCCCCCAUAAGAUGGUAGAGUGGCAUCACUCAGCCAUAAAAACUGAGGUGGUUCCGGAUGAGCAUGCGGAUGAUUAGCUAGUUGGUGGUGUAACGGACCACCAAGGCGAUGAUCAAUAGGGGAACUGAGAGGUUGAUCCCCCACACUGGCACUGAGAUACGGGCCAGACUCCUACGGGAGGCAGCAGUAGGGAAUAUUGGACAAUGGGUGGAAGCCUGAUCCAGCCAUGCCGCGUGCAGGAAGAAGGCUUUCUGAGUUGUAAACUGCUUUUGCCAGGGGAUAAAAAACGGGCGAGCCCGGAAUUGAAGGUACCUGGUGAAUAAGCCACGGCUAACUACGUGCCAGCCGCCGCGGUAA